rnacentral:rRNA from 1 species
GAUGAACGCUGGCGGCGUGCUUAACACAUGCAAGUCGAACGAAGCACUUUAUUUGAUUUCCUUCGGGACUGAUUAUUUUGUGACUGAGUGGCGGACGGGUGAGUAACGCGUGGGUAACCUGCCUUGUACAGGAGGAUAACAGUUGGAAACGGCUGCUAAUACCGCAUAAGCGCACAGCAUCGCAUGAUGCAGUGUGAAAAACUCCGGUGGUAUAAGAUGGACCCGCGUUGGAUUAGCUAGUUGGUGAGGUAACGGCCCACCAAGGCGACGAUCCAUAGCCGACCUGAGAGGGUGACCGGCCACAUUGGGACUGAGACACGGCCCAAACUCCUACGGGAGGCAGCAGUGGGGAAUAUUGCACAAUGGGCGAAAGCCUGAUGCAGCGACGCCGCGUGAGCGAAGAAGUAUUUCGGUAUGUAAAGCUCUAUCAGCAGGGAAGAUAAUGACGGUACCUGACUAAGAAGCACCGGCUAAAUACGUG